rnacentral:rRNA from 1 species
GACGAACGCUGGCGGCGUGCCUAAUACAUGCAAGUUGAGCGCUGAAGGUUGGUACUUGUACCGACUGGAUGAGCAGCGAACGGGUGAGUAACGCGUGGGGAAUCUGCCUUUGAGUGGGGGCAACAUUUGGAAACGAAUGCUAAUACCGCAUAAAAACUUUAAACACAAGUUUUAAGUUUGAAAGAUGCAAUUGCAUCACUCAAAGAUGAUCCCGCGUUGUAUUAGCUAGUUGGUGAGGUAAAGGCUCACCAAGGCGAUGAUACAUAGCCGACCUGAGAGGGUGAUCGGCCACAUUGGGACUGAGACACGGCCCAAACUCCUACGGGAGGCAGCAGUAGGGAAUCUUCGGCAAUGGACGAAAGUCUGACCGAGCAACGCCGCGUGAGUGAAGAAGGUUUUCGGAUCGUAAAACUCUGUUGGUAGAGAAGAACGUUGGUGAGAGUGGAAAGCUCAUCAAGUGACGGUAACUACCCAGAAAGGGACGGCUAACUACGUG